GACGAACGCUGGCGGCGUGCUUAACACAUGCAAGUCGAACGGAAAGGCCCUGCUUUUGUGGGGUGCUCGAGUGGCGAACGGGUGAGUAACACGUGAGUAACCUGCCCUUGACUUUGGGAUAACUUCAGGAAACUGGGGCUAAUACCGGAUAGGAGCUCCUGCUGCAUGGUGGGGGUUGGAAAGUUUCGGCGGUUGGGGAUGGACUAGCGGCUUAUCAGCUUGUUGGUGGGGUAGUGGCUUACCAAGGCUUUGACGGGUAGCCGGCCUGAGAGGGUGACCGGCCACAUUGGGACUGAGAUACGGCCCAGACUCCUACGGGAGGCAGCAGUGGGGAAUAUUGCACAAUGGGCGGAAGCCUGAUGCAGCAACGCCGCGUGCGGGAUGACGGCCUGCGGGUUGUAAACCGCUUUCGCCUGUGACGAAGCGUGAGUGACGGUAAUGGGUAAAGAAGCACCGGCUAACUACGUG
rnacentral:rRNA from 1 species